rnacentral:lncRNA from 1 species
UAAAAGCUGAAUUGGAAUACUUUAUUAAAACUGAACAACUCAGAUCCCAGAUCCCGAAAUACAACAAAUCAAAGGAGAUAUAUCUCCUGUAUGAAAAUACAUAAAAACCCGAUAUCAAAACCCCAACCAGCUCUCUGUCCACCAUCAGCUCCAGUACCUGUGACUGAACACACACAGAUACACCAAGAAAACAAUAUCUAACGGGGUUAGUGAUAAGUGCCGAGUGGCUAAACAAGUCGUGCGUAGAACUGAAACUGAACAAAGAUUUUAAUGCGCAUGUACUGAGACUUUACUAUGCCUGUAUUGAGAAUUGACUGUGCAUGUACUGAGACUUUACUAUGCUUGUACUUAGAAUUUACUACGUCUUUACUGAGGAUAAAACAAGAAGUCUAUCUAAAUAGUAAAAUUAAUAAUGUGACCCUAUGGUCUUGUAGGCAUCAUCCAAACUUCAGCCACCCUUAGCUAUGAGCGGACAGCCUCAUGGUAGAUCAAACCAUGAAACCACCCUCAAAAGCCGUGAGAGCAACACUGAAGGUUAACUCAUCACGUCUUGUCUGAACCAGAAUGAAUCCUCAGGAAUUGCGCCAUCCAUGGAUGGGUGACCAACGCAUAAUGUCCUAAACAUGAACUGUGAUCACAGUUCAAUCGUCGUGAGUUUAUGCUCGAAAUUAAACAACUGUCCGUACAGUAGAUCGCACGCUACUGUACAAUAUGAGAGCCCGACAAUGAAUCACAACAUCUACAUAGUAGAUCAUACACUACUGUACAGUCCUGAAAAUCCAAUCAUUGGAUCCCUGACAACCUAAUUAUAAUUUUACGCUUAAAGCAGAAAAGUAAUCCUAAACCCCCACCUGGUAUGAAGAGCUGACACCUCUGAUUCUAACUUGACAUGAUACCUCUUGCUUCCAUGAGUCCGUAACUUCUGACAUUGCGUCGUUUGGAAUUCAAACGAUCGAGUUACGCUCCAUUUACUUCUUUGCAAUAAUUUGAAACUCGCUAGUCCUCUAACUGCCUCCGUUACUCUAACUAAUCCAGAACUUCCAGACGUUGACAAAAUAGACCCAAAUCCUUAACUAUAAGCCAUUCAUAAGUUCAGAACUACGGAAGUAAGAACUCACAACUAAUUGUAAAAUUACCAACUGUUCACUUAACUCUUGGGGACUGCAGUUUGGUCACCUUUCUUCUCCGUCAAAGGGCUCGCCGCUGGCGAAUCAACCCAGAUUCCGGCGAGGAUUUUCCGGCGACCUCCAAGAACCGUGGAGCCCCG